AACGUAGGACACAAGCGUUAUCCGGAGUUACUGGGCGUAAAGAGUGUGUAGGCGGUGCUCCAAGUCUGGUGUGAAAUCUCCCGGCUUAACUGGGAGGGUGCAUUAGAAACUGGAAUGCUAGAGGAUGGGAGAGGUAAGCGGAAUUCCUGGUGUAGCGGUGAAAUGCGUAGAUAUCAGGAGGAACACCUGUGGUGUAGACAGCUUACUGGACCAUUUCUGACGCUGAGACACGAAAGCGUGGGUAGCAAACAGG
rnacentral:rRNA from 1 species